rnacentral:lncRNA from 1 species
AUUCUGGGACUUUAAAAAAAAUUUUUUUUUUGGAACAUUCCCACUUCAUCAAUGCUAUGUUGGCAGAUGGGAAGGGAAUGAGAAUUCUUCUAGCUGCACGUGUUUCACCUUACACUGGAUAUUUGGUCCUACCCAAGGUUUUCUCCAAAUCUAAACUAGGAAGCUGCUAAUACCUUUGAUAUUUGGUCCUACCAUGAAGAAAUAGUUGUUAGUAUGGCACUCCAUCCUUCAGUAAAUAUGUUCCAUGUGGAUAUUUAUAGUCCUGCCUGCUCCCCUCAGUGAGAACAGGACGUUCUUCCUCCCAUAAGCUCUGUACAGCUGCCAGGAGAGAUGGUGGAAGCCUUUCCUCCCCUCACCUACUGUGGCUGUUCAUUGGUUUCAGUUCCACAGCCCCUGCAAUAUCCAAGGAUCUGUUGAAUCCAGUCUGUUCUCAGAAAAAAAAAGCAACCAAACAGGAACAACAGCAAAAGGAAAACAAUCCAACUUACUUUGCAAAGACUUAAAUGUUUUCUUAGUAGUUUAUUUUCAGAAUAAAAUGCAUAGUGAAGGUUGUGUCUUCUGUAAUACACGUAGUUGAAUAUUCUGGCAAUUGAGCCUGUGUGGGUACAAUGGGGACUUCAACUGUUUUGGGGGUGGAGUAUUUAAAAUCGUUUAGAAUAAAUUAAAAGCUUACUUUGACA